GAAGAGAGGGUCUCUAGAAUGAUCAUGCUCUGUAAAUUCCAAAGCAGGUAGUGCACCUGCCAGGUGACUGAACAGCUCCGUCACAGUUGGACUGGAUGCCUACUGGAUCUACACCUAAUGGAGUCAGGGGCAGGCAUGAGAAUGGUGUUCUUUUUCCUGGUCUAGUUUUUCCUCCCACUGCUCGGUGGGAGCACUGAGCUUCCUUUGUACCAGUUGUGCCCUGCUUAGGAGGCAAGGUCUACCGUGCCCAAAUCUAACUGCUGGUGACUGACAUGUGACAUCUUCUGUCCCCAGCACCUAGAGACUCCCUCACACCUGAGAAGAGUGACAGGACAACACUCGGAUGGCUCCAGGCAAAAUAAGGCUUGUGGAUUAGACAUAUGCUCUUAGCUACUGCUCUCGUGCCAUGCCUACCUGCCUGCUGCCAUAUUCCCUGCCAUCACGGUCAUUGAUUCAUGCUCUAAAACUGAGAGGAAAUGGAGGAGCAGAAACAGGAUCAAACUCUAUAAAUAAAUUAUGGUUGGCCUGCUCUUAAAUAUCAUAAACUGCUGAAAAGAAAUGAAGUCAUAGCACACAUUAAUUUCACUGUGAACGUUGGCUAGGAGCUGGUGUUAAAAUUAAAGGACUUUGUAAGGAUCGAGAGUGAAAGGAGGGAGAAACCUUUAAUAUUUCAGAAAUAAUGAAACACGUAUCAUGUUUUCUGGGCAGGCUACAGAAUUCUGUGCUUGCAGCCUCACCAAGGAACUCAUCUAAGCACUGGGGUGUUGGCUGACAAUCUGUCUGUGCUGUGAAUAAUGGCUGCAUUCUGCCCAAGACUCUAGCCACCGUUUUACCUCCUCCAUAUAUCAAAAUAUUCCUCGGGGAAGUCACCAGUCAAACGACUGCAGAACAAGAAGACCUUAGAGGCAGACAUGUAUUUAGCUGGAUUUUAAGACCUUUUCCAUGUCUCUUCAGGAUAUUUAUGGAAUUGGGAGAGUCAGGAUAUGUUAG